rnacentral:rRNA from 1 species
GACGAACGCUGGCGGCGUGCUUAACACAUGCAAGUCGAACGGAAAGGCCCUGAUUUUGUGGGGUGCUCGAGUGGCGAACGGGUGAGUAACACGUGAGUAACCUGCCCUUGUCUUUGGGAUAACUUCAGGAAACUGGGGAUAAUACCGGAUAGGAUCUCCUGCUGCAUGGUGGUGGUUGGAAAGUUUCGGCGGUUGGGGAUGGACUCGCGGCUUAUCAGCUUGUUGGUGGAGUAGUGGCUUACCAAGCCUUUGACGGGUAGCCGGCCUGAGAGGGUGACCGGCCACAUGGGGACUGAGAUACGGCCCAGAAUCCUACGGGAGGCAGCAGUGGGGAAUAUGGCACAAUGGGCGGAAGCCUGAUGCAGCAACGCCGCGUGCGGGAUGACGGCCUUCGGGUUGUAAACCGCUUUCGCCUGUGACGAAGCGUGAGUGACGGUAAUGGGUAAAGAAGCACCGGCUAACUACGUG